AACGAACGCUGGCGGCAGGCUUAACACAUGCAAGUCGAGCGCCCCGCAAGGGGAGCGGCAGACGGGUGAGUAACGCGUGGGAAUCUACCCAUCUCUACGGAAUAACGCAUGGAAACGUGUGCUAAUACCGUAUACGUCCUUCGGGAGAAAGAUUUAUCGGAGAUGGAUGAGCCCGCGUUGGAUUAGCUAGUUGGUGGGGUAAAGGCCUACCAAGGCGACGAUCCAUAGCUGGUCUGAGAGGAUGAUCAGCCACACUGGGACUGAGACCCGGCCCAGGCUCCUACGGGAGGCAGCAGUGGGGAAUAUUGGACACUGGGCGCAAGCCUGAUCCAGCCAUGCCGCGUGAGUGAUGAAGGCCCUAGGGUUGUUAAGCUCUUUCACCGGUGAAGAUAAUGACGGUAACCGGAGAAGAAGCCCCGGCUAACUUCGUGCCAGCCGCCGCCGUAACAC
rnacentral:rRNA from 1 species